rnacentral:rRNA from 1 species
UACGAAGGGGGCUAGCGUUGCUCGGAAUGACUGGGCGUAAAGGGCGCGUAGGCGGUUUGUAGAGUCAGGUGUGAAAUUCCCGGGCUCAACCUGGGGGCUGCACUUGAUACGUAUGGACUGGAGUGGGGAAGAGGGUCGUGGAAUUCCCAGUGUAGAGGUGAAAUUCGUAGAUAUUGGGAAGAACACCGGUGGCGAAGGCGGCGACCUGGUCCUUGACUGACGCUGAGGCGCGAAAGCGUGGGGAGCAAACAGG